rnacentral:tRNA from 1 species
CGAGGGUUGGCCAAGUUGGAUAAGGCAUGGGCCUUUGACUCCCAGACCGCCGGUUCGAGUCCGGUACCCUCGAC